AAACUUUCAGCAAUGGAUGUCUUGGCUCGUGCA
rnacentral:rRNA from 1 species